UACGUAGGGGGCAAGCGUUGUCCGGAAUCAUUGGGCGUAAAGAGCGUGUAGGCGGCUUGGUAAGUCCGCUGUGAAAGUCCAGGGCUCAACCCUGGAAUGCCGGUGGAAACUGUCAAGCUUGAGUCCGGAAGAGGCGAGUGGAAUUCCUGGUGUAGCGGUGAAAUGCGCAGAUAUCAGGAGGAACACCAAUGGCGAAGGCAGCUCGCUGGGACGGUACUGACGCUGAGACGCGAAAGCGUGAGGAGCAAACAGG
rnacentral:rRNA from 1 species